UUUCCGUAGGUGAACCUGCGGAAGGAUCAUUAUUGUAUAACCGGGGCGCGAGGGCUGUCGCUGACCCGAAAGGUCGUGCACGCCCGAGUGCCCUCACACACAUCCAUCUCACCCCUAUGUGCACCACCGCGUGGGUCCCCCUUUGGCUUGUUCGGAGGGGGGCUUACGUUUUCACACAAACUUUGUAUGCAGUGUAGAAUGUAUUUUUUGUUUUUGCGAUCACGCAAUCAAUACAACUUUCAACAACGGAUCUCUUGGCUCUC
rnacentral:misc_RNA from 1 species